AUCCACCUGACGAGUCUCAAAUCAGACGAAAUGCGCGUUAUCCUGGAU
rnacentral:hammerhead_ribozyme from 1 species